GCCUCGCGGGGGGGGGGACAGCUCCACCUGUGACCAUCGGCCUUCCGCGUCCACGCCGAGGCCCGGGGACGCGCGGCACAGCGCACCCGGCGGAGUAGGCCGACCCCGCGGGGGGCCCGCGGGAGCCGCCGAGGAAGCUUCGGGAGCGGCCGGGUCCCGCGCGGCGGCCUCCGGGGUGGGGCCCCACGCCCGCCGGAGCCUGGCCCGCGCCCUCGGCCCCGCGCCCUCGGCAGUGUUUACACAGCGACUCUGCGAGUCCCCGCUCCAGACGGCCGGGGGCGCGACUGUGAAGGAACCACUAAAGAAAGGGACAUCCAACUCUGCACUCCGGCUCCUCCCCCGUCGGCCUUCUCCCUUCUUCUUUGGACGCCACCAAAGCCUCCCCUCUGCCGAACCUCAUUCUGUGCACUGGAAACUGAGCAUCUGUCCGAGUUCCGUCCAGCUUCCACUCCAGUGCCGUUUGGCAAUGCGAUUUUUUGUUUUAACCAUUAGGCUUUUCACUGGGGUGGGCGGGAAGAACACAAUGUCCUAGCUGUGUCACGAUUGUGCAGCGGAGACAUUGCAUGCUGUUUUCACUACUGUACACUUGACCUGCACAUGCAAGAAAAAGGUGGAAUGUUUAACACCAUCAUCAGCUCAGGGUCUUUGCCAAACUGAAAUAAAGUGGGAUGGGAAGUGUGUCCUUCAGCUCCAGGGUACUAAAGUCCCUUUCGCUGCCGUGCGAGAGAGGCAAAUCUUCUUGAGAAGCCAAAUUAUGAACCUCUGACUGACUUGGUGAGCAUGGACUCUGAGCGAGGGAAGCAAGUUUCCUCCCGCCUCCAUCUCCCGUGCUGAUACACCUGCUGACGUUCAUGUCUGUGGACCCCACCCCAGCGCCCUCAGCCCGGGGGACGCUCGGGUUUCUGCCAGCACUUGCUGCUUCGUGCUCAUUGGCAGUUCUCAGAUGGCUUUACCCUCAGCCUUGUUCGUCAGUCAAGCCACGAGGCUCCAUUCUACUCAGUCAUGUGUGUCUUAAGUUUGGCGCUCCUCGGGACACUAAACAUGCUCCCUUAUCUACUCCCAUUUAUACGUUUCUCAGAGGCAUACAUACCUCGGUACUGCUUCCACUUGCCUGCUUACACCUUCAGUAAACCCCCUGUGUUUUGUUAUGUUUGUGAGAUUCACCUACAUUUUUCUAGAAGGUGAAGAAAUGGUUAUUGAGAUCGCUUUUUUAAAGUAUUGUAAAGCUGCAAAUGUUACAUGAAUUUCCAAGAUAAGUUGGACACUUUAAAAACUUGUUGAGUAGGAAGGGAGUCCUUUGGGGCUCUGGACCCAGCGCUCAGGUGUUGGGAGAAUCCGCUCCAGGAGUCCAGGCCCUUGGAGAGAAACCGUUGACAAGUCCUAGCUCAGUAAAGAUUGGUUCCUGAUCAGUAUGUGAACUGACAGUUUGAAAGGAUACUCUGUAUUUAAAAACCCACGUUAUGUCAUUUGUAAACCUGAGAACUAGCCUUGUACGUAAAGUACAAAUUAUAGGUGCUAAUAAUUCCUGUUAAGAUCCUGAAGGGGUCUCUUUUUUCCACAAUGCUUCCUUGGCUUUUCCGAAGUUGUUUUGUCACACACAAAAAUUCACUUCAAAGCUUUCCAGCACACACAGAUAUCUUAAUGUACAGUUUCAAUUACUUCCCAACCAGUUAUCUGCAAACAGAGAAUACGGUGACCAGUCCUAUGAAUUUAAAGAACUCCGCACGCUCAUUACCACAGCAGCACACACCGGAACCGCUGCACAGACAGGUCGUGUGCACCGUGAGGGCCCUGGGGGUCGCUGGGGGACGGCGGAUGGCGGAGGCCGUUCCAGAGGGGACGGGGCACACGGCACAGUCUCUUUUCUCAUUCCUGUGCUCAGCGUUGGACUGAACGGGCCGCCAGUAAACAUCACUGAACAAACUGGAAUUAAAGUGUUCACGUCAAUGAUCAAUGACUGGAACAAGUGUGUGUUAUGUAACAGAUCUCAGUUCCUGUGGUGUGCAGUGUAGCCGUGGCUACUCAGGACUAUUCAUCUGUAGAGUGUGUGGGGUCAGAGUGUGAACGGUGUGUUUUAACGUGAUAGUUUUCAGAAUUAUAAAUUAGUGUUGUUGGGUUAGUGUUCAGGAGGAAUAGUUUAAUGAUGAAAAUGGCACCAUUUAAGAUUUUAGGUCUACACUUUGUAAAGUUGUCCUGCAAUUUUAUCUUGGGAGUAGUAGGAUAGCGAGGGACCGGGAAGUACCUCCAUGUUUACUAUUAAAUUUCUGGUUGGCUGUUCCUUAAAACCAUGGUGGCGGAUUCUGUUGUGGCUUUUCACGGAUCCUUUUGUUAAGAAAUUCCAUUUUGUACUUACCUUUAAACUAUGCAUUUAUUUGAAUUUUCUUAAGUGUAAGUUUGAAGUACUUCUUUAUUGUUGAGACAUAUCCUGUAAAAAACAAAAUCAGGACGCUGUAAUGAUAUCACAAGUUCCUUUAUCUCAGCUGAAGUUUAUAUAAACUUUUAAAGGAAAU